GGAGGACUAGGGUCGGGGUCGGGGUUACCGCAGGUGGCGGCGCGGCGGGCGGCGGGAGCAGCGGGCGGCGCGGCGCAGGCGCAGGCAGCGGCGCGGCGAGGCCCCGCGCCCCGAGCGCCGGCCCACGGUCGGCCGCGCGAGCGACCGCAAGCGCCGGCCGCGGCUGGGCGCGGAGCGCCAGGUGCAGCGCAGCGCGACGGCCCGCCGCAGGCGGCGCGCGCCCUGUGCGCGGCAGCGGUGGUACCGGUUCUUCUCGCACCCGCUGGAGUGGCGGCGGCUGGAGCUCCCGUUCGCGCACGAGCACGCCCGGCUGGAGUUGCACGGCGAGCUGCUGUUGGUCUUGUAGUGGCUGCUGUGGGCGUAGGCGCGGCGGUAGGGGUGGUAGUUCAUGGAGGAGUCGUUGCCGCGGUUCCAGUAGGAGUGGUCGGUGGACCCAGCAGGAUUCCCACAAUGAGGAUUCAAAUCGAACCGAGGGGAACACGGGGCUAAUAGGCUCGAAGAACCGUAACUCCACUUUUUUCGUCUUCUACAAUAGCCGGGUCUUCAACUCUUUAACCACCGACUGGACCGUUUACCACGACAAAACGAGGACCUUUUGCAUUCUAAAAUGUUCCUUCUCCUCUUCUUACUGGGUCUCAAACGUUUCUUCGAACGCAGUGACCGUCUAGACAAACAUUUGCUACGUAAGCCUUGUCGGGUGUCUCGUGUACGGAGCUGACUCCCUCAAUGGUUCAAGAACUUCGGAAGACAACGACCUAAGGAAAACGUCUUCCUUGAACUGAUGGACCUACCUCGACAAAGUUUGGGAUUCGCGGGUAAACGACGGUAACACCCACCGAGUUUCCACAGUAGGUUCUAACCCCAAUAGCUUAGGGACAACCUCUUCACACUGUAGGAAGAAAACCCACCACCAUACUAGAAGUGUAAAAUGUUCCGUGUUCCUGAGAGUCAACCAAGAAGGAACCAACUCCUUCUAUUUGAACUCGACCGUUGUAGAGAGGAACGUUUCCGUUUCCGUUUCCCACAGAGGGAAGACAACGGUAGACUGCAAUAGUAACGACUAUUCAAACGAGGACUACGAUUGUCAGUCUGGCAGGGACGUAGACGUUAAGGACUACCAACCUACCCCGACCUGUAACCGGGUCUAAGUCAGUUUUGUAAAUUACUACGGGACCUGUGUUGUGUCUGUUAGUAAACCUUGCCUGGUUACCCACAGAAACUUAAACUGUUCAAACGUCAUCCUUGACUCAGAUAACGUUUCUUCAACCGGCUCGAAUCGUUUUUCCCACACUGUUGAUAGUAACCUCCGCCUCUGAGGCAACGCCGACAACUCUUCCACCCUCACCGACUACAAUACUCGGUGUAGAGUUGACCACCACCGCGGUCGAACCUCAACAACCUUCCUUUCCUCGAAGGACCUCAGCAACGUGAACUACUUCCACAGUACUGCUCCAGCCACUGGCAUACUCCGAUUCGAAGUAAACAACGUAGAAUUAAGGAAAGUACAUGGCAAGGUUUGGACGGUACAACAGGAGGGAGAAAACGAGCAGAAGCUGGUGAGCUUUACAUUCUCUGGUUACAAAAUAUCUCUUUAUGACCCUUGACAAACUUAUUGUGGGGGUCGUUAAACACGAGUGAACUCAACGGGAAAGAAUCGAGUGUAUUAAUCGUGGUCGUUUACAAAAUAAAUAUUCCGUUUCUACCUUACUACAACCAACUCCUACAAACUAAAAACAGAACAAAACAAAAGGAAAGGUUUCGUUUGAAAUCUCCACAGCUUCUACGUGAAACACCUACGGACAACGCUAGUCGUCAUUUUUUAAGCCAAGUACAGCUUCAAGUGGUACCUUGUUCGUCUGUACGAGUGGAAGGUAAAGGUUAAAGUCGUAUUUAAACUGCCUGGUUGUCUCACGACUUCGACUGGUAACUUUCGUAGUCGCGUAAAACAAACAACAUUCUUACAGAAUAACCACCUUUAAGAAGUCUUUGUAAAGUAAACCCCAAACCGGUACAGUCCGAAAUGUGUGUUUGAAUGACGUAUAUACCUAAAGCUGCUAGCUGUCAAGUCGUAGUACUUCUCGCUAUAGUGUUUCCACAAAGAAGUAACACCCGUGAAAGACGGAGGUACGUACGGGUCAUUAAGAGUAUAAAUUGUGGUGUGUUC
rnacentral:rRNA from 1 species